rnacentral:snRNA from 14 species
AUGUUCUUCUGCCAGGGAAACAGCAAGACCAAGAAGAGAGCUUUCUCAGGGUAAGGUCUAUCUCCUGCAGGCUGAUACUCUAACUCUUCGAUUUUCUCACAUACAGGAAAUUCAACUGCGUAACUCCUGGUAGUGGGGGACUGUGUUCAUGUUCUCUCU